GACGAACGCUGGCGGCGUGCUUAACGCAUGCAAGUCGAACGAUGAAGCCGGAGCUUGCUCCGGUGGAUUAGUGGCGAACGGGUGAGUAACACGUGAGCAAUCUGCCCUUGACUCUGGGAUAACUGCGGGAAACUGUAGCUAAUACCGGAUACGACACCUUGGGGCAUCCCAGGGUGUGGAAAGAAUUUCGGUCAAGGAUGAGCUCGCGGCCUAUCAGCUAGUUGGUGAGGUAAUGGCUCACCAAGGCGACGACGGGUAGCCGGCCUGAGAGGGUGACCGGCCACACUGGAACUGAGACACGGUCCAGACUCCUACGGGAGGCAGCAGUGGGGAAUAUUGCACAAUGAGCGAAAGCCUGAUGCAGCAACGCCGCGUGAGGGAUGAAGGCCUUCGGGUUGUAAACCUCUUUUAGCAGGGAAGAAGCGAAAGUGACGGUACCUGCAGAAAAAGCACCGGCUAACUACGUGCCAGCAGCCGCCGUAAUAC
rnacentral:rRNA from 1 species